AGCAACAUGCCCUAUACAGGGGAAUAAACCAGGGAAACUUGGUCUAAUGCCCCAUAGCAAUAAGAUAAGGCAUCUUAUUUUAUUUAAAGCUUCGGUGGUAUAGGAUUGGCUCGCGUGACAUUAGCUGGAUGGUGGGGUAACGGCCCACCAUGGCGAUGAUGUCUAGGGGUUCUGAGAGGAAGACCCCCCACACUGGGACUGAGACACGGCCCAGACUCCUACGGGAGGCAGCAGUGAGGAAUAUUGGACAAUGGAUGGAAAUCUGAUCCAGCCAUGCCGCGUGCAGGAAGACGGCCCUAUGGGUUGUAAACUGCUUUUCUACGGGAGCAAUAAGGUCUACGCGUAGACUGAUGAGAGUACCGUAGGAAUAAGCAUCGGCUAACUCCGUGCCAGCAGCCGCGGUAAUACGGAGGAUGCGAGCGUUAUCCGGAUUUAUUGGGUUUAAAGGGUGCGUAGGCGGCUUUUUAAGUCAGCGGUGAAAUUUUGCAGCUUAACUGUAACAGUGCCGUUGAUACUGGGGAGCUAGGAUUUGGUUGCUGUGGGUGGAAUGUGUGGUGUAGCCGGUGAAAUGCUUAGAGAUCACACAGAA
rnacentral:rRNA from 1 species